GGGUGAUUAGCUCAGCUGGGAGAGCAUCUCCCUUACAAGGAAGGGGUCGGCGGUUCGAUCCCGUCAUCACCCACCA
rnacentral:tRNA from 1 species